rnacentral:rRNA from 1 species
UACAGAGGUCUCAAGCGUUGUUCGGAUUUAUUGGGCGUAAAGAGCGUGUAGGCGGCCAGGUAGGUCUGGUGUGAAAACUCGAGGCUUAACCUCGAGAUGUCAUCGGAAACCAUCUGGCUAGAGUCCGGAAGAGGAGAGUGGAAUUCCUGGUGUAGCGGUGAAAUGCGCAGAUAUCAGGAAGAACACCAAUGGCGAAAGCAGCUCUCUGGGACGGUACUGACGCUGAGACGCGAAAGCGUGGGGAGCGAACAGG